ACAUUCCUACAUCAUAGUGUUAAUUCAUUGGAUCCCAUUAGAACUUCACAGUUAAGUUCACUCAAGAUAGAUUAGUACUAGGAUGGGUGACCGCCCGAGAAGUCCUAGCAUGUU
rnacentral:rRNA from 1 species